rfam:Dipodomys ordii contig_22495, whole genome shotgun sequence.
GGGAAUGUGGCUUAGUGGUAGAGUGCUUGACUAGCAUGCAUGAAGCCCUGGGUUCAAUUCCUCAGUACCA